rnacentral:rRNA from 1 species
AACGAACGCUGGCGGCAGGCUUAACACAUGCAAGUCGAGCGGGCACUUUCGGGUGUCGGCGGCUGACGGGUGAGUAACGCGUGGGAACGUGCCCUCUUGUUCGGAAUAACUCAGGGAAACUUGAGCUAAUACCGGAUACUCCCUUUUGGGGAGAGGCUUGCUGGCGGAGGAUCGGCCCGCGUCUGAUUAGCUGGUUGGUGGGGUAACGGCUCAGCAAGGCUACGUUCAGUAGCUGGUCUGAGCGGCUGAUCAGCCAGACUGGGACUUGGACACGGACCAGACUCCUACGGGAGGGAGGAGUGGGGAAUAUUGUAGGAUGGAGGCAAGCCUGAUCCAGCCAUGCGGGGGGAGUGAUGAAGGCCUUAGGGUUGUGAAGCUCUUUUAGACGGGACGAUAAUGACGGUACCGGGGGAAUAAGCCCCGGCUAACUUCGUG